rnacentral:piRNA from 1 species
UAAACUUAGACUCAAAUAUCU